UCUCAAAGGCCAAAAAUAAUUUUAAUCCUUAUUUUUAUUUCCUUGGGUUAGAUAUAUAUCCCUAAUUUUUAUUUUCUUUUUAAUAAUUUUAACUUAAAAAAAAAUAUAAAUGAAACUCACUACUUUGAAUCGAUAACGAUCAAUGGAUCAAAUAAUUACAAGGUGGGACCCAUUCAAAUUCAACAAAUUACUACAAUUUUGAGAUUACUGAAUACUUGAAUUUCUAUCAAACUAUACUUUAUUAACUAUUAACAAAUUGGAAAACAAAAAUUGGUAGAUUAAGAUACUACAACAUUUUUUGAACUAAAGCACUACGAAAAACCGGAUCUAUAUACAUUGAAGGUGAAAAAUUGAAAGAAUGAAGUAAAGUUUGUAUGAGAAAAAGAAUGCCCCGCGACAUAAAUCAGGAAUUGGCAAUAACUGUAUGUUCUGUAUCAUUCGAAUCUAAUAUCCGAGAAGUUUUCUUGUUAUGUGGCUUAGAAAUCCAAGAGAAACACCCACUUGAUGUUUUGUCCAUAGAACCCGUUGUGCUUAAAUCAAUCUCCUUCACCUUUUCUUUGUCUUCGUGUGCCAUCUUCUUCAAUUUUUCCUUGUAAAGCUUCUGCAUCACAUAUGUUUCAGCGAGUCCAGACCCUGCCCAUGCCAUGCCUAGUUUGAAAUCAAUGAUAAUUCAAAAGUAUUUUGAAAGUGAGAAGAAAGAUGGAAUUAAUUUGCUUAUAUAAGGCUUGGAAAGAAAAGAAACGUGUCUCACACUGUCUAUUUUGACCAUCCAUUGCUUUUCGUAUAAACCACGGUUUUAUA
rnacentral:lncRNA from 1 species